rnacentral:misc_RNA from 1 species
GAAGUUCCAGUAGAUAUUUCUUACCAUUUCCCUUACUAAUUAGUUUAUCCUUGUUGAUUUUUAGUUCUAAAUGUCUAUUCCAGUUUUAAUCUGUUUGCUAGUAUGAAGCUGCUUGUGAGCUGAUGUUAAGCCACUAUUUUUAUCCUUGUUUAGUUAUUUAUUUUUGGGUUAUCAUUUAUGCCUAAAUGAGUGCAGGGUAUAUAUUGUUACUGUUGAGAAAUGUCUAUUGUAUGUCCUUGUGCUCUUGGGUUUGUGAAGGGAGAAGACUUGUAGAGUUUUCAUUGGUAUUGUCUGAUUGGGUGAAGUCUAUUGUUUUAAGAAAACUGAUAUAGUGGUUCUAGCAUUUACCUAGUUGGAAGUUCUCUAUAAUUUUUUUUUCUCGUGGUUGAUGGAUGCACUAGAUUAAUGGGUUGAUUCGGUUCUCCUUUCCUUUUUUCCCCCUUUUCUAUACAUUUUUUUAAUACUUCCU